rnacentral:rRNA from 1 species
GAUGAACGCUGGCGGCGUGCCUAAUACAUGCAAGUCGAGCGAACAGAUGAGGAGCUUGCUCCUCUGACGUUAGCGGCGGACGGGUGAGUAACACGUGGAUAACCUACCUAUAAGACUGGGAUAACUUCGGGAAACCGGAGCUAAUACCGGAUAAUAUAUUGAACCGCAUGGUUCAAUAGUGAAAGACGGUUUUGCUGUCACUUAUAGAUGGAUCCGCGCCGCAUUAGCUAGUUGGUAAGGUAACGGCUUACCAAGGCAACGAUGCGUAGCCGACCUGAGAGGGUGAUCGGCCACACUGGAACUGAGACACGGUCCAGAAUCCUACGGGAGGCAGCAGUAGGGAAUCUUCCGCAAUGGGCGAAAGCCUGACGGAGCAACGCCGCGUGAGUGAUGAAGGUCUUCGGAUCGUAAAACUCUGUUAUUAGGGAAGAACAAAUGUGUAAGUAACUAUGCACGUCUUGACGGUACCUAAGCAGAAAGCCACGGCUAACUACGU